GUGCUUGUUUCAGCAGCACAUAUAUUAAAAUUGGAAUGGUACAGAUAAGAUUAGUAUGGCCCCUGCAUAAGGAUGACAAGCAAAUUCGUUAAGUGUUCCAUAUUUUU
ensembl:snRNA U6 U6 spliceosomal RNA